rnacentral:misc_RNA from 1 species
UCCCCGUUGCCGGGGCAGUCUGAUUAGAAAAAUACAACUAAUCACAAGGGUUGCGCUCGUUAAUGGACUUAACCAAACAUCUCACGACACGAGCUGACGACGGCCAUGCAACACCUGUCACUUGGCUCAAUAAAGCACUCACUACUUUCGUAGUAAUUCCAAGGAUGUCAAGCCCUGGUAAGGUUCUUCGUUUAUCAUCGAAUUAAAGAACAUAAUCCACCGCUUGUGCGGGUCCCCGUCAAUUCCUUUAUGUUUUAGUCUUGCGACCGUACUCCACAGGCGGGAUACUUAACGCGUUAGCUUCGCUACUGAAGGGGUCGAUACCUCCAACAGCUAGUAUCCAUCGUUUACGGCGUGGACUAC